rnacentral:rRNA from 1 species
CAAUAGCGUAUAUUAAAGUUGUUGCGGUUAAAAAGCUCGUAGUUGGAUUUCUGCUGAGAACGACCGGUCCGCCCUUUGGGUGUGUAUCUGGCUCUUUCUUGGCAUCUUCUUGGUGAACGUUGCUGCACUUGACUGUGUGGAGCGCUACCCAGGACUUUUACUUUGAGGAAAUUAGAGUGUUUCAAGCAGGCAUACGCCUUGAAUACAUUAGCAUGGAAUAAUAAGAUAGGACCUCGGUUCUAUUUUGUUGGUUUCUAGAGCUGAGGUAAUGAUUAAUAGGGAUAGUUGGGGGCAUUCGUAUUUAACUGUCAGAGGUGAAAUUCUUGGAUUUGUUAAGGACGGACUACUGCGAAAGCAUUUGCCAAGGAUGUUUUCAUUGA